GUGAAGGUAUGCUCACACACCAAUGACCAUGCAGACUCAUAUAAAGUCAAAUGACAGAUUAUAUAGAUGUGUUACAUUUUAUUGAUUCCCAUUUUCUUCUCUUUCUUUAGAUUUUUGUUGGAGUAAUGAAAAUGAAAGGCGACUCCCUGAAACCUGUGAGAGGGAAGUCACUUCCCCUUGAAAUCCAACCUCUGUGGUCAUCUGAACAACUGUUGGCUGCUGCUAUAAAGAAACUGAAAGAUUUUAACCAGGACAUUGAAGAUCUUCCCCAUGUUUUGCUGUACCCUGAUGCUAAGGAGGUUACAGUGGACACUCUUCAAGUGAAGAUGACAGUGUGGUCUAUGUUAUUUUGCCAUCUGCAGAGAGUUCACUUUCUGACACUGUGGUGUGGGACGGUCGAGAUGAAGUGAGCACUCCAAGAAUGGAGAACAUUUUGCAUAGAUCUUUCAGACACACACAACCAGCAUCUGAUCAAGAUGGAGGACAAACUGAAGAGGUCCAGGAACAGGUCACAUCCACCAAGGGUCAGAACAACUUCUAUAGUGCACUACAUGGGGAACAACUGAACGAGAUUUCGGACACUAACUGAAAUUUUCUGAACGUCGUUGUGUCAGUAGCUGUGCCGCAUACUCCUGUGACGCAAGUGGACGCGCCGCGCAUCAUGUAAACAAACCAG